rnacentral:rRNA from 1 species
CGGUCGGACAUCGUGCUAAUAGUGCAAUGGCAUAAGCGUGCUUAACUGCGAGACUGACAAGUCGAGCAGGUACGAAAGUAGGACAUAGUGAUCCGGUGGUUCUGUAUGGAAGGGCCAUCGCUCAACGGAUAAAAGGUACUCUGGGGAUAACAGGCUGAUUCCUCCCAAGAGUUCAUAUCGACGGGGGAGUUUGGCACCUCGAUGUCGGCUCAUCACAUCCUGGGGCUGUAGCCGGUCCCAAGGGUAUGGCUGUUCGCCAUUUAAAGUGGUACGUGAGCUGGGUUUUAAAACGUCGUGAGACAGUUUGGUCCCUAUCUGCCGUGGGCGUUGGAAAUUUGAAGGGGGCUGCUCCUAGUACGAGAGGACCGGAGUGGACGAACCUCUGGUGUACCGGUUGUCACGCCAGUGGCAUUGCCGGGUAGCUAAGUUCGGAAGAGAUAACCGCUGAAAGCAUCUAAGCGGGAAACUUGCCUUGAGAUGAGAUUUCCCGGAGCUUUAAGCUCCUUGAAGGGUCGUUCGAGACCAGGACGUUGAUAGGUCAGGUGUGGAAGUGCAGUAAUGCAUUAAGCUAACUGAUACUAAUUGCCCGUACGGCUUGUCCCUAUAACCUUAGCAGUUAUA